AAAUGCGGAUAAUAUAUAGCCCUGCGAAGUUUGCCGUUUUUCAGUCAUUUUGUAUUUCCCGUGCGUAAUACAAAAUGACUGAAAAACGGCAAACUUCGCAGGGCUAUAUAUUAUCCGCAGUUUA